GAUGAACGCUAGCUAUAGGCUUAACACAUGCAAGUCGAGGGGCAGCGAAUAGAUAGCUUGCUAUUUAUGUCGGCGACCGGCGCACGGGUGAGUAACGCGUAUCCAACCUGCCCAUAACUAAGGGAUAACCCAGCGAAAGUUGGACUAAUACCUUAUGUAUUCGUUUGAUCUCAUGAGAUUACGAAUAAAGAUUUAUCGGUGAUGGAUGGGGAUGCGUCUGAUUAGCUUGUUGGCGGGGUAACGGCCCACCAAGGCAACGAUCAGUAGGGGUUCUGAGAGGAAGGUCCCCCACAUUGGAACUGAGACACGGUCCAAACUCCUACGGGAGGCAGCAGUGAGGAAUAUUGGUCAAUGGACGCAAGUCUGAACCAGCCAAGUAGCGUGCAGGAUGACGGCCCUAUGGGUUGUAAACUGCUUUUAUAUGGGGAUAAAGUGGGGAACGUGUUCCCUUUUGCAGGUACCAUAUGAAUAAGGACCGGCUAAUUCCGUG
rnacentral:rRNA from 1 species